rnacentral:rRNA from 1 species
GAUGAACGCUGGCGGCGUGCUUAACACAUGCAAGUCGAACGGAAAGGCCCUGCUCUUGUGGGGUGCUCGAGUGGCGAACGGGUGAGUAACACGUGAGUAACCUGCCCUUGACUUUGGGAUAACUUCAGGAAACUGGGGCUAAUACAGGAUAGGAUCUCCUGCUGCAUGGUGGGGGUUGGAAAGUUUCGGCGGUUGGGGCUAGACUCGAGGCUUAUCAGCUUGUUGGUGGGGUAGUGGCUUACCAAGGGUUUGACGGGUAGCCGGCAUGAGAGGGUGACCGGCCACAAUGGGACUAAGGUACGGCGCAGACGCCAACGGGACGCAACGGUGGGAAGUAUUGCGCAAUGAGCGGGAGCCUGAGGCGGCAACGCCGCGUGCGGGAUGACGGCCUUCGGGUUAUAAACCGCUUUCGCCUGUGACGAAGCGUGAGUGACGGUAAUGGGUAAAGAAGCACCGGCUAACUACGUG